rnacentral:lncRNA from 1 species
UUUAAUUGAGUGAUUAACUUAUUCAUAAUACACUAUUAUAUAUACACAAAUUACUAGUUAAUUACUUUAACUAAUUCUAAAACUUGUUGGACUUGUGGGCUGGACUUCUAUUUGAUCCGAGUCCUGGUCCAACUUGACAAUUGUGUAUUUUAAUGAAUCUGCAAAAAUACCCAAGAGUUAUUAGUAUUUACACAUAGGUAUUUUAUUUGAUUUGUGAUUUAUAUAAAAGUCCUUGGAUUAAUAUAAAACUAUAAUAUUAAAACAAUUGGAACUUUUAUACUUAAGACCUCUGUAAAAACAUUACAGUAGUAAUUUAGAACCUUUUAUUAUUUGUAUUAUACUUUAGGUCCAACUAACGAAUUAAUUGGAACUUUUGCAUAUAAAACCCCUGUUGGUUAAUACAAAACAGUUUAUUCUGUUUUGUAGAAACCUUAGGACUUUUUAUAUUUAACUUAGGUCCUAACUUAGUUUCUUAGGGUAAAUUUCUAUUUUACCCUAGAUUUCAGCUGUAUUUCUUAUACUCCCCCCUCAAGCCUUGGAAUACACAUUGUGGAUUCCUAGCUUGACAGAGAAUGCUGAAAUUUCAUUUUCACCUAAGGAUUUGUGAAAAUGUCUGCAAGUUGGUAUUUUGUGCCAACUUGCUUUAGGAGAAUUAUCCCUUUUUCUAUCUUUUCUCUUAUUGAAUGACAUGAGAUUUCUAUGUGUUUGCUUCUCUCAUGAAAUACUGGAUUGUUGGCUAGGUAUAUAGCUGAUUUAUUAUCACAAUACAAUGAUGUUGGUAUUGUUAUUUUUAGCUUUAAGUCUUUGAAAAGCUGAUGCAGCCACAGUAUCUCACACUGAGCUUUACUGAUGGCUCUAUAUUCAGCUUCACAUGAUGAUAAAGAAACUGUAUCUUGUUUCUUUGAUUUCCAGGAUAUUAAAGAUGUUCCUAAGAACAUACAAUAACCUGAUAAUGAUUUUCUACUUAUUUGGCAUGAAGCCCAGUCUGAGUCACAGUACCCAUGGAGAUCCAUUUGGUUUUCAGUUUUGUAUAAAAUACCCUGUCCAGGAGCAUUUUUGAGAUAUCUUAUUACUUUAAGUAAAACUUGAAGAUGAAUCUCGUUUGGCUUUCCCAUAAAUUGGCUUAACCAAUGGACAGAAAAGCUUAGGUCAGGUCUAGUUAUGUUUAGGUAGAUUAAUUUACCCACUAGUGACCUAUAGAAUGUUGGGUCUGUUAAAUCUUUUGCCUUUUCAUUUUUUAGAUUUAUGUGCCUCUCCAUGGGUAUUUUUGAUGGCUUUGCAUCUAUAAGGCCACUUUCUUCUAGUAUGCCAAGUGCAUACUUUCUUUGGGAUAGAUAUAUACCCUCUGAUGGGUAUGAUACUUCAAUACCCAAGAAGUUGGAUAGUCUUCCUAAAUCUUUGAUUUUGAAAUUUUUUUCAAUAUUUUUCUUUAUUAAGAAUAUUUCUGCUUCAUUGCUUCCUGUGAUGAUAAUAUCAUCAACAUAUACUAACAGAUAUAUAAUAUUUCCAUUAUUAUUUUUUACAAACAAUGAAUAGUCAGAUGGUGUUUGAAUGAAUUUCAUUUCAAUGAGGACUCCUUUUAAUUUUGCAAACCAAUUCCUAGAUGCCUGUUUUAGGCCAUAAAGGGAUUUGUUUAGCUUGCAAACUCUUUUAUCUCCUUCAUUGAGGAGACCUUGUGGAGGUUUGAGAUACACCUCUUCAUGGAGAUCUCCAUGAAGAAACGCAUUGUUGACAUCUAACUGGUAGAUGUUCCAUUUCUUAAUUGCUGAAAUUGCAAUUAUUGCUCUAAUUGUAGUCAUUUUUACUACUGGAGCAAAAGUCUCAUAAUAAUCAAACCCUUCUUUUUGGGUGAAACCCUUAGCUACAAGCCUAGCCUUGUAUCUUUCUAUUUCACCAUUGGGUUUAUAUUUGAUUUUAUAAAUCCACUUGGAUCCUACUAGUUUUCUAUCAUUAGGAAGCAUGGUUAGUGACCAAGUUUGGUUUGAAUGGAGUGCUUCCAUUUCUUUGUUCAUUGCUUCUACCCAUUUUGGGUUUUUAGAAGCCUCUAGAUAAGAUCUAGGCUCUUCAUUAAUAGAUAUUUGAUUUAAGAAAUUUUUAUGAUUUUUUGUAAUCCUUUGGUAUGAUACUUGGUUACAUAUUGGGUAUUUCCCUUUUUUAGUAUUUCCAUAUUCCUUAUCUUUCUCAAGGAAAAAAUCCUUGUAAGCUUCAGGUAUAUGUAUUACCCUCCCUGUUCUGGUUGUUGUUAUUUUUUUGUUAAUUUUCAGAGAUUUUUCUGGAAUUUGGCAGGGUAUAUCUUGAUGCAACUUAUCCAGCUCACUUCUGAUUGGAGAAGUGCUGGUGUUUGUUGUUUCAGGGUUACUCACUUGUUGUUUUGUUUGGAUUUGCAUCCUAUCAUUAUUCUGAAAAAAUUCAGAAUUUGUGAUAUUUUCAGUAUUUCUGAAAAUUUCUGAAUUUUGUUCUUGAUUCAACUUAUCCAGCUCACUUCUGAUUGGAGAAGUGCUGGUGUUUGUUGUUUCAGAGUUACUCACUUGUUUUUCUGUUUGGAUUUGCAUCCUAUCAAUAUUCUGAAAAAAAUCAGAAUUUGUGAUAUUUCCAGAUUUUUUAGAAUUUUCAGUAUUUCUGAAAAUUUCUGAAUUUUGUGUUUGAUGAUGAUCCUGGAAUAUUCCAGCACUUCUAUCAUCAUGUUGGCUAUCCACUUGCCUCAUAUUAAUACUCUUCAAGCGGCUAGCUCUGUUUGUAUUUAGACUUUUUAAUUCAGAUUGAUCUGAAUUUAGUCCAUUAUUUUGCUUUUCUGAAUUUUGAGAAGCAUUUUUAUUCUCUGAUCUUAUAUCUUGAUGAAAGUCAGAGUUUUGCAUUUCAUUUUCAUCCUGAUUAUGAAUUUCAUAGUCAUAAAGAUUUUUAUUUGAUUCAUCAUGAAAUAAGCAUAUAUCAUUAUAAAUUUUUUGAAAAUGGUUAACAUUUUUAUCAUUUCCUAGAUCUAUAUUAUCCUUGAAUGGGAAUAUAGAUUCCCUAAAAGAAACAUCUCUAGAAACAAAAAAUUUCAUGUCUGAUACUCUUAGUAUUAGAUAACCUUUGACACCCUUAGGGUACCCCAUAAAUAUGCCUUGAAAAGCCCUAGGUGAGAAUUUAUUAUCUCUUUGUGUUGUUGAUGCAUAUCAUAGACAACCAAAGGAUUUUAGGUUCUCAAAAUCUGGAAUUUUUUUAUGGAUGAUUUCAUAUGGGGUUUUGUUUUCAAUUGAUUUGGAUGGAAUCCUAUUUAUUAGGUGAGCUGCAGUUAAUAUGCACUCUCCCCAAAAUUUUAAUGGAAUAUUUCCUUGAAGGUGUAAAGCCCUUGCUACAUUCAAAAGAUGUCUAUGUUUUCUUUCCACUCUUGCAUUUUGUGCAGGAGUGUAUGGACAAGAAAAUUGUUGGGAAAUUCCAUGUUUUUCUGUCAUUUUUUUAAAAUUAUUGGAGGUAAAUUCACCUCCAUUAUCACUUCUAAUGAUUUUUAUUUUAGUAUUAUAUUGAUUUUUAACCAUUUUAUAAAAUGUCUCUACACAUUCAACGGUCAUUGAUUUAUUUUUAAUAAGGUAUAUCCAUGUUCCUCUACUUAAGUCUUCUAUUAUAGUUAAAAAAUAAUUAUAGCCAUCAUGAGAUAUAAUUGGGAAUUUUCCCCAAAUAUCUACAUGUAUAAGAUCAAAAAUAUUUUUAGACUUUGAGGAACUAAUAGCAAAUUUGAGUUUUGCUUGUUUUGCUAGUGGGCAUAUAUUACAAUCAUAUUGAAUGGAUUUUAAUCUGUUUGAAAGAGAUUCUUGUUGAGAAGAAAAUAAUUUUUCAUUAUUUUUACUUAAAACUGAUUUUUGUUGACAAGAGUUGGAAUUUGCAUAAUUUUUCUCAAAAACAGAAUUUUUAUUCAACAUUGAAUCCAAAACAGAAUUUUUAUUUUUAUUCAUACAAUCAUGACUAUUACAAGCAUUAUUCUUACAAACAUUGCUAUUACAAAUACAAUUUUCAUUUUUAUAUCUAAUAUUAUAUUUGGAAGCUAAUAUCUUCAUCUUCUCCGAUGAGAUGUGUCCCAAUCUAUGGUGCCAUGUCCUGAAACUAAUGGCUGAGUUUACUAGGAAAUAGUGAGGGGUGAAGAAAUACAAUCCAUUGCUUGAUUCACCCUUGCCAAUCACUUUCCCGGAUUUGUUUUCCUGAAAUUCAAAGCAAUGAUCAUCAAAAAUAACUUUAAUGUCAUUGUCUAAGGUUAAUUUGCUUAUAGCUAUUAGAUUAACCUUAAAUUCAGGGAUGUAUAAAACAUUCUUAAGUGUUAAACUAUCUGAAAUCUUAAUAUAUCCAACACCUUUAACUAGUAGAGUUUUGCCACUAGGUAUAGUAACAAAAUGGUUAUACUCUUGAAUUAAAGGUUUUGUAAAAAGGUGUAUGCUACCAGUCAUGUGCUGUGAAGCACCAGAAUCAACAAUCCAUUUAUCUAUAUGUGAACUAAUAUUAAAAGAAAAUGAUGAAAUAUUACCAUUAUUAUUUGCUCUUGUUGAAGAGAUUAGUUCUUUGAAGAGUAGAAUCUCUUCUUGGCUGAGUGCUAGUUGUUGAUUACUUGUAGAGGUGACUUGGUUAGCAACAUCUGAAUUUUCUUGGGUUUUCUUUCCUUGAAACUUUUUCUGAAUUUUUUUCUCGGGUCUUCCAACUAAAUGAUAGCAUUUUUCCCGGGUAUGGCCAUAAUACUUGCAAUUAUCGCAAUAGAAUCUUGUAUCCAAUUUUUUUCCAUUCUUUGAAAACAUUAUCUUAUUUUUUUCAGUUGUACUCUUAUCUUUAACAAAGAAGGCAGAUUCUACUUUCUCAUUGAUUUGUUCUCUGAACUUAUUCCUUUGCUUUUCUUCUUGGAGUACUAAUCCAAGAACUUUGUUUAUAUUAGGGAGUUUCUCUAAAGACAAUAUCUGAGUUCUUAGAUUGUAGAAAUUCUCAUUGAGACCUAGUAGAAAUUGAUGAAUCAUGUCAUUAUCUUCUUUCUCUUGGUAUAGCUUUUUGCAUCCUUUGCAAAAUUUUUCUUUUAUCUCAUCAAUUUGGGUCAAUUGAUCCCAAAUUGAUCUAAAUUUGUCAUAAUAUUCAGAAGAUGACAAUGUCCCUUGUUGUAGGCAACAUAAUUCAUAUUUUAUUUGGCUGAUCUUAGGGGCAUUACUUUGUUUAUAUCUGUUUUCUAAAUCUUUCCAAAUCUGAAAUGCAUCAUUUGUAUACAUUAAAGUGGACUGAAUUUGGGGAGAUACCGAAUUUAACACCCAUGCUAAAACCAAACCAUUAACAAUCUUCCAAAUAUUGUAUUCCCUACUAUCACAAUCAUCGGGCAUCCUAAUCUGGCCAUUUAUGAAGGAAUCUUUCCUUCUUGAAACUAAUGAGACUUUCAUCCCAUUAGACCAAGUUAUGUAAUUGGAUUCUCCAAUUAACCUAUCUGGAACUAACACAGCUCCCGGAUGAUCCCCGGAAGUCAAGAAAAAGGGGGACUCAGGGUCCUGAAGUGGAGAUGCGUACCUUUGAGCUCUAUGCUUUUUAAAGUAUGAGCUAUUGUAUAAAUUUUCAUGAUCGUAUCUCUUAGCUUUUGUUUUUCCAGUGGAGCCAGAGGAUGAAUGCACUGAUGAGGGCGAAUUGCGAAUUGGGUUGCUGGACUUGACAGUGGAGCCAGCGGGAGGAAUUACAUCAACAGCGGCCGGAUUUGCGGAAGCGGGUGGCCUGCAGGCCAGAGCAUCGGCCAGAGGAUCUUUAGACGAAGAUACCAUGUUAAAAACUGGCGCCGGAGAUCGUGGUGGCACUGAUGAACGUCGAGAACGACUCCGGCAGAAUCUUUACGGAGGAAGAGCGCAAAUCGCGCUAGGGAUUUUCGCCCAAGAAGAUUGGGGAAAAUACCUGAAAAAACCAACGAAAAGAGAGAGAAAGAAAAGAGGGAAAAGAGGGGAAUUUGAUUUUGUAUUAUUAAAUCCAAAAUGUAAUUUGUUUGAUUUAAUUGAGUGAUUAACUUAUUCAUAAUACACUAUUAUAUAUACACAAAUUACUAGUUAAUUACUUUAACUAAUUCUAAAACUUGUUGGACUUGUGGGCUGGACUUCUAUUUGAUCCGAGUCCUGGUCCAACUUGACAAUUGUGUAUUUUAAUGAAUCUGCAAAAAUACCCAAGAGUUAUUAGUAUUUACACAUAGGUAUUUUAUUUGAUUUGUGAUUUAUAUAAAAGUCUUUGGAUUAAUAUAAAACUAUAAUAUUAAAACAAUUGGAACUUUUAUACUCAAGACCUCUGUAAAAACAUUACAGUAGUAAUUUAGAACCCUUUUAUUAUUUGUAUUAUGCUUUAGGUCCAACUAACAAAUUAAUUGGAACUUUUGCAUAUAAAACCCCUGUUGGUUAAUACAAAACAGUUUAUUCUGUUUUGUAGAAACCUUAGGACUUUUUAUAUUUAACUUAGGUCCUAACUUAGUUU